AUUUGCAAAUUGCAACAAGGAACUUCGGUUUGCCAGCUACAUUCCUUGCCGAACAACAACACUUCUCAGCUUUUAUUUUAUUUUUCUUUUCUCUCUCUAAGCUUAGGAGGAGAGCCUGCGGUGUGGCCGUAGCCUGACCUAAUAGUGAUACUUUAGAUGGCAGGAAGGAACCGUGUUCAUCGAGAAUUUGACCGCCAUCGUGGUCACCUUGUAGAAGGGCCUCUUGUCCGUGGUCCUAUACCCCGGCCUAUGCCUAAUCAUCAUGCUUUAUUAGAGGAAGAACUUGAAAUGCGGCAUGUUGAUAUUCGCAGGCUUUUGGGUGAAAAUCGGAGACUGGUUGAAGACCGAAUUACUCUGCAGCAGGAGUUGGGUGCUGCUAAGGAGGAGCUACAUCGCAUGAACCUUGCUGUGGCUGAUAUUCAGGCUGAACAUGAGCUCCAUUCCAGGGAACUUAUAGAAAAGGGUCUAAAGUUGGAAGCUGAUCUUCGAGCCAUUGAACCCCUGAAAAAUGAGGCCAAUCAACUAAGGACCGAAGUUCAAAGGCUGCAUGGCAUAAAGAAGGAUCUCCAUGGGCAGGUGCAGACACUAACAAAAGACAUUUCCAAAUUGCGAGCUGAAAACCAACAGAUUCCACUUUUAAGGGUGGAGAUUGAUGGAUUACAUCAGGAGCUUUUUCAUGCUAGAUCUGCUGUUGAAUAUGAAAAGAAGGCAAAAAUUGAACUAAUGGACCAGAGACAGGGGAUGGAGAAAAACUUGGCGUCAAUGGCACAUGAAGUGGAUAAGCUACGUUCUGAGCUUGCAAAUUCUGAGGGUAGAUCUUGGGUUAACGGUGGACCGUACUCGAUAAAUUUCGGCACUCCUGAUAGCAACUUCCCAGCACCUUAUGGUGAGGGAUACGGGGGUCAUCUGGUUGCUGCCAACAAGGGCCCUUUAUAUGGUGCUGGCUCAGCUUCAUGGGGAGGACCUGAAAAGCCUCGAAUGUCUCGCCGUUGAAUUGUUCAGAUCCUGUAGUGUGCUGUCCUGUAUAAACUGGAGCAAGGAGUGUCUGAUGUCUUCCAUUUGUGCGUAAACGAUCUAGUGUCAGCUCUCUUCCCAGUUGUCCUUGAAGAUAAUUGGUUAUGUUUACUUGUAUAUGCGCGUUAAGGUUACUCUUACUGAACUAAUGGGAUCUAGCAGAAUUGGCUGGCUUACCUGAUUGAACCAACUUAAUUUUAAAAUGUCUCAGGAGAUUCUUGAGGUGAAGUUGGAGAUUACAAAAGCUGAUAAGGUAUUUUUUGAGGUGGCUCUUUUGAAAUCUUGGGCUGCAGUUGGAAAUCAUGUUUCGAAUGUGACAGAAAUAAAUGGAUUGAGAGGGUUCUGGGCAUUUUUCAGGUUGAAGGUUGGGUCAAUUGAUUAUUAGUAACAAGCACUCUCGUUAGAAGCAUUUUGUUCAAAUUAUGCAGUCACGCACCCUUGAGAAGUUUUGUCAACACUUUUGUAAGUCAUCCUUGUUGAGGUUCUGAUUUUGCCCCUACAUAUAGCAUUGUGGUUUGGUUUGGUUAGGCAAGAACUUACCGCAUCAGGAAGUUAGAGCAAUUUAGUUUAACUCAGAGAAGUGCAGAGUUCCAUGAGAGAAGUAGCCACCAAUUCAAGUGCUUCAGAAAGAUCAAGUGGUUGAUCAUGCAAAUUGACGAGACUUGCUCUUGAAAUGUUUGAUCUGAUCAGAGUGUGGUUUUCAGUUAUCAUCUCUGGUGUGGAUGUUUUGCAGUCCACACGUUUGAUCCAGUGUCAACUCGACAAGGAUGUGAGAGAGAUGGCUUAGUACUGUGCAGCUAUACCACAGACAGACAUUUAUCAGUUUCUUUUGGAGUUUUGGUUCCAGGGCCAACUGUGAGGAGAUGGCUGCGGUUUUAGGGAUGAAGCAAUUGAAAAGACUGAAAUGCCCUUAGAUUAAACAGCUAAAGGCGGUAAUUCAGUUGAGGAUCAAAAGUGGCAGAAAAUAAAAACUUGAAGGAUUAGAAAUGUUCGAUUUGAAAGGUGAUUUACAAAAGUGGCAUAUUUCUCAAUACUUGGGAGGAUCAAAAUUGGUAUUAAUUCAACUAAAUAAAUACGUGAUCCCCUUCCCUAUAGCAACACUUGAGCUUGGUUUUAACUCCUCUUGAGCUAAAUAAAUACCAAUCUAUACUAUUAAUAAAAACAAUAUCAUCAGUUUUAA